rnacentral:pre_miRNA from 1 species
UUACGUCAAAUUUUUAUGGAGUUGGACAGCAUUCCUACGUUUGCCGCCAGGGGCGCUGUUCCAACUCCAUACUAAUUUAGUUA